AGGCUCAGGCAAAUUCAGCAAUCUGUCCCGGGUCACUAAGGUGUCUGCAGCACAGCAGCCAACACUUCUGGAGCACAUGGCCCUGCAGUGAAGGAUUCUGGAGCCCACAUUCAUCUGAAGGGGAUCCGAGGAGGUUCUGUCUUGUUGAAUGUGAUGGAGAAGCUCAGAGUAGAUGUAGGCGCUGAGCUGGAGGAGAGCCUGUGCCUCAUCCUGAGAUCCUGGCCAAGUCACUGUCUAUCAUACCAGGCUCGUGUAACAUCACCCUGGAGUGUAGGGCUCCAGGAGCCACAGAGGACCUGUAUGUGACUUGGGAGAGCAAGGACCUCCUCAGAGAGCUGGAGCACAGAGAAACACCAGGACCAUCCCCCAACCCAUGGACCCUGGCUGUGAACCUGCCCCUGAGCCAGCCGAACAGCAAUCUCACCUGUGUGGUCAGCAACCAGGUGGAUCAGAAAGAUGUAACCUUACCCUGGGGAAGCCUGUGUCAAGGUUCAUGUAGACUGGACAUGGCUCUCCUUCUGCGAGAUAUUUUUGGAGUCAUUGCAUUUGUGCUGUUGAUCUUGGGAGCUGGGCUGUACCUCUGGAAGAAACAUGGGAAGAAGAAGAAGAAAGAUAAGGAGGAAGAAGAGGAGGAGGAGCAGAAGGAGGGGGAGGAGGGGGAGGAGACAGGAAUAGGCAGAUUGCACUUCUCCAUCGAGGCCCAGAUAUCUCCCCUCCCCAACUAGAAUCUGGGUUCUCUUUCUCCUGAAAGAAUGUCAUUGUUUAACUAUAUGAGUAACCCUAGAUAUAGCAUCGAGUUAAUGUGUCCAAGAUAUUUGUUACUGGAAAAAACUGAAAAGCAGUGCAUGGUAUGAUUUAAUUUUUGUAAAAGCGUAUAGAUAGGUAGGUAGAAAGAUAAGCACAGAAUAAAAUCUAUAUACUACAUGACAGAUUA
rnacentral:sRNA from 1 species